UAAGAUGUUACAUGGGGCCGCAGGGGAGCUCUGGCCUUGGAUGCUAUUAUCUAAAUGUAAUUGCAUCUGUUGUUGUUGGGACGGAGUCGAAGCACCAGGUAAUGCUUUAGGCAAUUGCUGUGAAUGAUUUGAAGACAAGGGAUAAACGAAUGGUUUAGAUUGCAGAUGCGUGCUCAUGGCAGUCCCUGCAUUAGACUGCUGAUCAGGCCUAACUGGAACCGCUUGCCCUCCUUUUUCGGUAGCCUGAUUUCCUGGGGUCAUGGUGACACCAUUCAGGUGUGACUGAUCAACAGUGAUGUUCUGAUGGAUCAUGUUGCCUCUACCCAUCCCCUUCAACUGUUUACUCUGCUGUUGACCUUGUGUUGGCUGCCGCUGCUGUGGAUGUUGUCUCGCAGACUGCUGCAGAAGUUGCCGCUGCCGUUGUUUUCCAGCUUGAUUGCUCACACCAGAAGCACCAGAAUGAGGACUCCUACCUAUACCAUGAAGCGGUAACUGAGACUUUUGAGGGUUCUGUUGUGCCAAAGUAUUCAUGUUAGGAGAAGUCGACACUGGGGACAUCGAUAAUGGCUGGGGAGAAACUGGUGGUUGAGUCUGAGGACUAUUUUGUGGAGAAGAAGAAACAGAAGAGCCCUGAGGUUGUUGUACAUGUGGCAUCAUUGUACCAGAUGCUGGAAACUGUUGUUGCUGUUGCUGUUGCUGCAAAAUCCUCUGGCGUAUUUGCCUUUGAUGGAUUGCAUAUGCUUCCUGCUGUGCCCCAGUGGCUUGACUUGGGAUCUGGUGAUGAGGAUGAUGCGAAUUCCCAAGCACAUGUGACUGCGGUGACAUCUGAUGCUGCUGGGAAAGAUGGCCUGGGUAAGCCUGAACAGGAGUUGUCUGGUUGGUAAAUCCAGAACUCAAAUUACCGAAAGCUGGGAUCCCUGGACUAUUCCCUUGAGCAGCCUGCAUAUGAAACUCACGCAUAUCAGUUUGUCACUGUAGAGUUUAUAAUGUGGAAAAACAGGUUCAAAAUGACAAUCCACCAGCGGUUGACAAAAAUCAGGACGCUGAAUGUCUAAAACUAAAAUAAGAAGCCAGAUAAAUUAGUCCAAGAGGUAAAGUAAGAAAUAGGUAAUUUCGCUAAGUUCCCGCAUGUGAGAAAUCUUAAAACUAAGUGCAGCAGCAAACAAAAGCCAAUUAGCUUACCCGCAUCACAUGCUGCAUAGCUUCACGAGGCCUGAGCAUGGAGUUUCCUUGAGAAGCUCCUCCUCCGGAAUGAAUAUUUCCAGUGUUUGGAAUUCCUACCAUACCAGAAGAAAGCAUACUAGUAGUAUUUGGCAUUGCUGAGGAUCCCAUCCCUUGAAAACCAGGCCUUGACAUGGGUGUGCUCCUGUUCAUUCCAUUUGCACCCAUAGCAUUUCCACCAGGAACCAUGCGAUGUCCACGAUCAGAUCCUGAGACAGCUCCAGGAGUUGAUACAGAAGGCUGCUGCAGGUUUCUACCGGAUAACAUCUGGUUAAACUGUUGUAUUCGGUUUUGUUCAUCAAGUGGCAAAGACCCUCUAGGAACGUUGAAUCUACCAUCACUAAACAGAAAAAAAAAAAAAAAAAAAUCCAAUUUCAAAAGAAGUAAUAACCCUAAGUAAAUUGAAAAGAGUUUCACAGACGUGUGCAUUCACCAAGACAAACCAUUCAGUACAGCUCUACCUGACAGAAGCACUCUGUAGGCCAGAUGUGGUUGGCAAAUUGUUGUUGAGAACGGCACCAGAUGAUCCAGGAGUGGAUGGAUGUGCUCCAGCAGUAGGGAGCACUGGCGUACCCUGAUUCAACACUGGAAGACCUGGAUUUUCAAGUGAAAAUACAUCUUGACCUGAAGUUGAUGCAUCACAGAUAUCAAGAGGCCUUCAUCCAGAGAGUAGCAAGAGAUUAGAAUUGCAAAAGUUGUAAUCAAGAUAUAUGUGAAUUUAAGUAAACAACAGAACUUACGUUAGAACACCUCCAUUCAAAUUAUUUGGGAAUACUUGAGAAAGAGCCAUGACUUGUGAAUUGUGAACUGGUACUAUUUGUUUGGGAUCCCGACCAUCAUUCUUGAAGAUUAGAUGAAAGAGUCGCAAACAUACAAAAACAGCAACAAGACAACAGAUUUAGGGCAAUAGAAGAUUCAUACUUCAAACUACACUGUGACUUCAACAAAUGUUAGCUAGGAUUUGCGGCUAUACUUAGAAACAUGCAGACCUGUUACUCAAAUAAGAGUGAUCGAAUUACGCCUUUCUUAGCAUUAAAUCCAUGUUAAUUGAAAACUAAAUUAAGAAACCUAUCUUCUCAAGUUCCAUAGCCCGGAUGUCUAAGCAAAAACGUUUAUCAGCUUUAGUGUAAUUUGAAAUCUGAAUUCCGUGAACAAAAGAAAUCACAGAGAUCCUGAGAACACACACUCUCUGGCUAUAAGUCUAUAUAUUAAAAACCUCUAGCAUUAUUCCCACAAGGGAGUCAAAAACUAAAAUUAGGACUUUCUCACCCAUCAUAUCGUCACUUUCUCACACGUGGAACUAUCCCUAUUGCCAAUCAACGGUUGAAUUAUGACUAAACAAAAAGUGCAGAAAGACAAUAUCCACUAGUUUUAGGUUACAAGCUUGGAAACAGUAACACAGCAGGAGGUGCACUAACCUGAGUCUUUUUAUAAUGUAACUUCUUCCCAAUCAAACAAAUCUUCUCAAAAUGAGACUUCAGGGUAUCUUCCUCCAUUGGCCCUUGCAGUCGUUGAAACAACUGUCUCGCACUUCCCUGAAUAUCACAAACAUAUCCAAGGAAAUUCAAUUAGUCUAAACAUAAAAGACACUUUGUUCAGCAUUUCAUAGCUAAAGGAAAACCUUUGGGAUGCCAGGCAAAGUGGAUGGAUAAGACUGAGAAUUCCCUGAAUCUUCAGCACUAUCAGCACCAUCACCAGCAUUCCUAUCCAUCAGAAUCUUAUGCCGCUCCUUGCACUCAGUCGAAUUGCGAUAUAUACACUGGAAAAACAAUGGGAAAUCAAUCAGCCAGUACUAAAGACCAGUUAUUCACAGACACGAGAAAGCAAUAACCUGGACAAUAAUAUCCAACACAACUGUUCAGUAGAAUAGGUAUAUAUAUAUAUAUUUAAUUGAAGUAUAACUCUGAACUCUUUUUGAAAUGAUAGGCACUUACCUUAAUUUUAAGAGUGCUGUUCAUGGCAUCACUAAUGAGCUCCCAGUUAGGGCCCAUAUCAUGCACCAGGACAACAAGCGCCUAUUUGGUGAAAAUAUAUUAGAUACUCAUAGAGCAAACUACAGUAUAUCGAUAUUAAUGAAAGAUGACGAAUAGAAAACCUGAUCCUCAAAUAAUGACCACAGAUUUCCAGAACCAUGCUGGCCAGGGGAAAUCUGAGAAAAACCAAAUUCUAGUUUAAAAAAAAUAUUUUAAACAAAGCGAAUGGAGUCAGUAAACCUUCAACGCAUACCUUCAGGCUUUUUACUUUUCUGCCCCUAUCACGACCUCCAAUAAAUUUGAUAGAUUUGUUGGGGUUGGACAUAUUACUCAUCUGGGAAGCCGCUGGAGAAGGAAUAGAGCCAGUGUGAGGAAUAGCAAUAUCAAAAUUAUUCUCUACCAAUUGCUUGGUGGUCUUUUGCUUCUUUGCACUAUGAGGACCAUACAGACCUGAUAAAAGACAGUUAAAAUGUCAAUAGAAUUAUAAGCUCAACAAUUGCUUUAGUUUUAUAAUUGUAGGUUAAUGAUAAGAUGUAUGCAAAAAUUGCUGCUUAAAAAAUGUUAUCCACCAAAAGUAUUGUUUGAUUUAUAUAGGCAGAGUGAGCCCGAGGCUCCCCCAACUGCUGAAGAACUACAAUGAACCAAAAAGUAAUAACAACUUUGCAAAUAAUACCGUUCAUAUCGAAAUGAUUCUCUGGUCGCUUCUUCCAGUGGUCCUUCUGCCAAAAUAAGAACCAAUUAGAAGCCUUUCUAAGAAGUCAAUUAUUAGUAUACAUGGUAAACUUUUGCCAACUAUUAUAAUCUCAUUUCAAGAAACAGGAAACUGUAAUAGUCACCUCUUUAAGACAAAAACGGAAACAAAAAAAUAAAGAUGUUAAGUAUUUCACUCUGUCAAGUAGGACUCAAGCAUCAAACCAGUUUGGCAAAGCUAGUCAAGCUAUAAUAUAAACUAAUUCACACCAUCUAAACACCUGUCAUGUUUUCCUAAAUAUUUGUUCAAGAUGAUUAUUAGGUUUUAUCAAGGAAAUCACCUGUUCGAUAUGGACUGACGGAUCAUGCCAGGUUUGGUCAUAUGCAGAUCCCUGCAACAAAUGAAUUUUAAAAUUACAAUGCAAUGUCAACUAUUUUCUGCAAACAGUAAGAGAUAUGCUGACAUUGCAAACUACCUGAUGAGUCUUCUUCUUCUUUUUAGGUUUUCCUGAGGUUUCAGCCAUGUCAUAAGGUAACUGCUUUUCAAAAUUACCACUUGAUUCAACCUCUGUCCCUUUUUGGGCUGCCGAUCCACCAUGUAAACUACUUUGCUCAUCCUGGAAAGAACUAGUAUCUCCACUAGACACAUCCGUCUUCGAGGGCACAGGUAAAUUCUCAGCAAUAGUAGCACAGCCAAAAGGACUCGCAUUCCUCGGCCUGGAAGCAGUGCGCACUCUCCUCGUCGGAACUGAGCCAAGAUUAUUAUUACUGGCAGGCCUUUUUGCCAUCACGCUUGAUGAGUUAGACCCACCUGUGUAGUUGCCGUAUGGUAAAUCAUCUCCAAGAUCAUAUGACCGGGCAGAAUGAGACUUCAUCAGAUUCUUCCUUUUUUUGUGGCUUUUAUUAAAUGAUUUGCUAGAUUCCAAAGCUCCCGGAAGAUAAUAGGUACUUGUUUCUCCUUCAUCCUCCUCAAAUGCAGCACCAUUAUAUCCUGUAUCUACAAUUAGAGAUACAAAAUUAGCAAACAUUUCACCAGUAUGCGUAGCUCAAACAACCCAGAAUUAUGUAUACCUCCAGCAGCAUCAUAAGCCGAUGUAUCAACCUCCUCCUGCAUGCUACUUCCAGAUUUCUGGGAACAGAGAAAUACUGUUAAAUAUCUUUGCAGAACAGAUAUAGCUUCUCAGGAAAAUAUAUGCCAUCAAGGUUACAAUAUGAGAGCUCCAAGCAAGGAAAAAUCUCACAUACACAUACCUCGCAGUGUGUAAGAUGCGACUCAAUGGACUUAUGGUAUACCUCCAUUGCACCAGAUGGAACUGAAUAAAAGAGGCUUGCCUGCACAGUAACAAAGCUCGAUUAGCAAUAUUAUAGAAUUAUCCACAGGAAUAGUAUUCAACUGAGGUUGUGGAAAAACUUUUCAGAAAUUCAUACUUCUGUAAGCUGAUCAAGCAUUAAUAUAUCCAAUAUUUCUGGGUCGCACAUAUUGUCAGGUGUUAACGGUGCAGCUGAAUGAUAGGGGAUGGAAGAGUUGUUAUACUUCAAAAAUCUACUUGCAUACUCCUUGACACCCGCAGCUAAACAUAUUCUGCCAUUCACACAAUUAGAUUCUUGGCAAGUGUCCUGCAUAUAAUUCAAGGUUUUACUUAGUAGGAUACCAUUAAGUUAUUAAAGUCAUAAGAUAAAGAGCAACAGAACCAGAGACUUCUGAAGGAAAUUUAUGAAAGAAAAUGUAAGCGAAUAAGAAAGAUUCAGCUUCUCAAUCAUAUAAAAGUAAAAAUCAGAAAUACUGCGUUGUUUUACAGUGAGUAAAAAAAAAACAUAAUAAUAUGGUUAAGGAUUUGAGCUUUACAAUUCUUAAUCUAACAAGUAUAUAUAUCUAUGCAUAAUUUUGAUUUAAAUGACAAGGAAAGAACCAUAUGAUCACCAUUGCCAUCAAAGACUAUUCCCGCAAAACAAAAGAUUAACUAAUAAAGGUUUGGCAGUCAAAUACCUUAACAAUUCCCAAGCUUGUCUCCUCCAGCUCCCCAGGACCCUCCACAGAACUCCAGAACUGCAAGAUAGCACUAGAUAGGAUUGAAGCUAUUUUUUUCAGCUUUUUGUGCUGAUUUCGUUCUUCAAAUCUCAACUGACAAGUCAAAGCAACUCGAUGGCAAAUUUGUGCAGCAGCAGUCAGCUUCCAAAGGCGCUCCUAGAAGAUUAAAAUAAAAAGGUAAUAAAAUGAAAUCAGAACAGGCAGUGAAAAAUAUUCUAGUAACAUAAAAGUGGACAGCAUAACAAUCUACAGAAUGCAGCAUUUUCCAGGCAGAUAUACAGAAUAUAAGUUAAAGACCAGACCUGCGCAAAAUCAUUUGCCAGCCAUGCCAUUUCUUCGAGGACAAAAUCCCAUUGACAUUUCUCACGGACCUCCACUGGUGCAGUACCACAAGAUAACUCGGCAAUUCUUUUUCUCUUUGUCUGUUAGUGUAUUAUGUCAUACAUAGAAAGAUGAAUAGGUAUACAACUUAUUCAAAAGCUAGAAAACUUGAUAUCAUCAAGCCAAGUUGAAAAAGAAAACCUGUAUAAUCCGUGCCUCCUCAAGGAUAGAGUCCUCUUUCAUAGUAUCUAACACUACUGCAUUUGAGCUUGGCUUUAAUGCUUCAAAGUCAGUUCCUGACAAUAAAUUAUCGCCGACUGCACAGGAACUUGUGUCUACAGAUGCCUGAGGAAUUUCAAAGCACAACGAGCUGCUAAGAUUUUCAGGUAAAAUGACAACUUUCCUGUCAAUUUCCGGUACAACCAACCCAUCUUGAAGCCUUUUCUCAGUCUCAGAAACUUUCUCUUCAUUUUGCAUCGCAGCUGUACUUCUGUGACUUUGAUUUUCAAUUUUAACCAAUUUCUCAGGAAUGCUCUCACUAAUAAUGGUAGUAGGUCGACCUGUCUCAUCCUCAAUCUUAGUUUUCGUUAUUUCAUCAACUGUUUGAUUAAGCAAACCCUCUACUCUCAAAGCCUUCUGCAUAGAGAUUUCAUCUGAGUCAGGUUUGUCCACUUUAUAAAGAUCUCUUUCAUUAUCUACAUCUACGUUGUUAGCGAGAGAAGACUCUGACUCUAACCCUUUAGUCCCUGCAGCUCCUCUAUUUGUUAAGCUUUCUUCCUCUCCCGUGGAAUUUCUUAGGCCGUUCAGUUGGGUAGAAUUAUUUUCCUGGCCAGCUAUUGUUACAGCUUUGGGAGAACCAAUCUCUGUAUCAGUCGAAACUAGUUGUGCCUUCUCCCCAGCAAGGCCAGACACUCCAACGGGCAAAUGUGCUGAGCUUUUUCUGUAUGUAAUGUUGGCUUCAUCUAGACUAGUCUUAGAUCCAGAAGUACUCUCUCGUAAAACAGGUUCACAAUCCACCUUAGUAUUCAGCGAAUUGCUGGGAACUAUAUUUUUUGGAACAAUCCCAUUCGAAUUUGCAAAUAUUGGACAAGAUACGGAAGUCGUAUGCUUAUCUUUUUGAUUCGCUGCUUCGGGAAUGCAACCCUUUCCUUCCACUGAUCCUCUGCGAACAGAUAUAGAUGUUACAAGACCAGCACGACUCUGAACUAAAUCCGUAGAACUUGACCGUGAUGGAUCCCGAUUUAUCUUUGAUCUGUUCCUCCGAGCAUACGGGCGAAAGAUGGCAGAAUCUUCUGUUUCUUUUGUAUUCUGGUUGGUAUUUGCUUUGGAAGAUCGUUCUGUCUCAGAAGUUCUGUUUUGCCUAUUAGGAUAUCUCAAAUUUCUUUCUCCUUCCACUGACUUGUUUUCAGAAUCAAACAGUAAAAGAUUAUCUGCUGUAUUGGGUUCAGAAAUGGAAGGAACUCCAGGUCUACCGCUACUCUCCACAGAGUCUCCAUUUGGUGAGGCAGUCAGGGCAAACCUAUCCUUGACUUCACUGUGGGGGGUUAUGGGUAAAUAAUGAUAAGCUAACUAAUGAAAUGAAAUUAGUGGGGAACUACAACAAACACGAGCGUACCUGUUUACAAAAUGCUCCGUUUGCUGAUCUGUGAGUGAUGUAGAUUGGACGCUAUGUGAAGUUGCAAUGCCAAACUUGAAAUCCAAGGGAUUACCGCCCUAAAGCAGAUAUAAAAGUAAAGGCUUGUAAUCAUAAGUUUUUAGAAAGAAAAAAAAAGAAAGAGGGAAAUAGGUAUUCAUACUUUCUCCAGAAACUCUAGUUCUCUCCUCCUUUCCUCACGGACAUCAUACUCUUGCCUGUUGAAACAAUCAUCUUUGUUACACACUGGAAGUGAUUAAUAGCUGUAGAAAUUGUAGAGCAUUUAAACACAUUGCAGAAAAUCAAGAAGUCUCAAUCUGAAAUACCUUAGCUCCGCUUGAGCCUUCUCAAUUGCUGUUCGGCGCGGAGAUGUUUUGACACCAAUACCACCUCCACUAUCAAUAACUCCUCCCAUGGAAUCAACCUCAGCAUUUACUAGAAGAUACCCUGAAACGCUUCCAUGCAUCAACACCUUGGAUGUCUCAUCAAUUUGAAUUCUAACUUCACUGAAAAAAUAUAUCAAGUUAAUUACAGCAUUCCAAAUGAUCAUACUGCAGAAGUUAGAAUCAAUAACAGCUAAAUGUUGACCUACAAAUAAUAAAGGUUAAUGGGUGCGCAUGUAUGUUCCCAUGAUGCAAAAUAGCCGAGAAAGUACAAAAUUUACCACAGAAAGCAAAGACAGUCCCAUAUGAUAACAGAUUAUAGAGUAGCUUAACAUAUUACAAAUGCUAAGAAAUUUGUCAAGAAUCAAACAUAAAAUCAGCCAUUUGUUCGAACCGCUAUCCAAAGAAACACCCAAGUAAAGAUAACUCCCCAGAAUCUAGUAUUUGACAGAGAACUUUACACAUAACACCUCUCCCAUUCUGAUCCUCUAAAAAACCAGAUUCAGCAAAGCAACAUAAACCAUCAAGAGCUCAGAGCUACUCAUUCCAGCAAUAAUGCAAUACGAAACUCUAAGAUAUAUGUGUAACGGGAAAUUUCCUAGGUUAGUAGUUUUUAUAUUAUUUAAUAUGCUUUAUUGAUAAACAUUUUACUAACUAUUAGAACUCUUCAAUCAAGUAUUACACAAUUCGAAGCUAACAGAGCAGGAACAAGGUAUCACAAAGAAGAAAUUUCAGCAAACAGUUCACAUUCCUGAAUCAACAUAGCAAAAUGAGAGAAGAACUCAACCCAAAACGUUCAAAAAAAUUCACAGAAGCUUCCAGCAAAGCUGGACUCUAGGGUUUGAGAAGAAGAAGUGAAAGAGAAGGCUAAGAGUAUACCUGGAAUUGAACGUAGAACAGAACGAACGCAAAAGCUAGGGCACAAAACUCGGGCAAAUCACACAAAUUCUAAAAUUAGUUUCUCUCUCCUAGGGUUUCCAAAGCACACCUCUUUCUAAGCUUUUUUGUGUGUUUUUCAUUCAAAUCAAAAGAGAGAGAGCUCCUCCCAUGAACAUGGAAUCCAUGAAAUUGCUUGCUUGUUGCGAGAUUGAUUCCUAAUUCAGCAAUUUUUGUUUUUCAAUUUUGGUUUCCCUCUCGGGAGAAGAAGAAAGAAAAAAAAAAACAAAAUUAGCUUCUCGUUGAUGUUUUUUUCACCCCUGGGCCUUCGGUUUAUUUGGUUCGGUUUUCUAUUUUUUUGGUUAUUAAACUUAGCUGCCGAAUUGACCCAAAUAAUACUUCGGUACUCGGAUUAUUUGGUUCGGUUAUUGGAUUUUAAAACAGUUCCAAGAUAAAACCGAUUUUAUUUCUUUCUAAUUUGGUUAUUUCGAACAACAUGUUGAAAAUCACAAUGAACCGACUUUUGAGAACCGGUUAAAUAGUUCUAUGUUCAUAAAAGAACUACUGAUGUGUUAUCUUAUAAGAUCACUUUAUUAACAUUUCACGAAAGAAUAAAAUCCAAAAAUAACAUAUUGCAUGCUUAUAAUCUUUUUCCUCAUCUUGUUGGGUUUACCGUUAUUUUUUAGUUACAAUAAAGCAUCUGAUCAAUUAUAAACUUUCCGCGCACAACACAGAUCGAAAACUAGUUGUUCUAUAUUGUUUGGUUAUGGUGUAACAUGAAUGAAACUUGAAUACAUUGGCUUCAAUUUGUCUUUCAUCUAGAUUUGGCUCUUUUCUUAAGAUGUUUAAAUAAUGGGAUCAAUCUCACAGAAUUCAAGUUAUUGGAAAGUGGAAACAAAUUAAAGAACCACAUAGAUAAUAAAUGUAAUUCUAACACUACCAUUUUAAGCUUGUUAUUAUAAGGAUAUGGAUAAUCAAUAUGAUUCGUAUCGUAUGUGGUAUGUAUCUCUCCUUUCUUGGUGCAUAUCUCUUUCACUGAUCAAGAAGUAGACACCAAUGACUAUCUUAGUCAACCUAGACAAACAUAAACAUGUUUCAAAUCAUGACAAGAAUAGGAAGCAUAUUGGACAUAACAGAUUUAUAAGGCAUGACCAAUAUCUUAAGUCUUCUCAAAAUCUUUUGGUAAUAAAAAAACACCGAACGUCUAAAGGUACAACAUAAGACACUUUGAAGUUGUUCAUGCAAUAAAUGUUUUCACCAACUGUAUUAACCAAUACUAGUUUUUGAGAAUUUUGGGGUUGUUCAAAAUGAAGGAGCAAAUACAAUAAUAUUCAUUGAUAUAUAACAAUCAUAAAGUUAUCAAAGAACCCAAUUAUGCACAAAGAGAAGCAAGCAUAUCGAUGUACGAUCUCAUUUUCUAAGGAAUCUUACUAACGAUGGGGUUAUGGAAUUGGUUCAUUGCAGCACACAAACACAAAUUUGGACCAAUGCCAUUAGUUUCUCUUUUGUUCAAAAUUGGUUUAAAUACGGUUUAGUUUGUUAUUUAGUCGGUCAACAAUUUUUCUUAAAACAGUAAACCACCAUGUUUUGAGGUUUCAAAGUAUAUGAUUGUGACAUUAUGUUGUAGUUUAUAUGAAGAAGAUUCCGGUAUAAAAAUAGAUCAUCAGUUCAGUCCAUGAGUGAAAAAAAAAAAAAGUGGUUUGGUUUGGUAUACUAAAUUUUUUAUUGGGCCAGAAAAGACAAAACCCAAAGAUCCGAACCGGAGUUAAACUUAAAAAACUCGUAAGUCAUAAAAGCCAAAAGCUCCCAAAUUUACAAAACUAUUUACUCCACUAAAAAAAACCAAACCAUGGCGACGCCUUCGCCGACCUCCUCUCCUCCUUCUGAUUCAAACCCUAAUUCCGCCGCUACUCCGCCGCAUCAAACACAACAACCCUCUCCUCCACACACCAAUCCAUCUUCUACUCCACCACCGCAUAUCACCGUCGUUGCCUUAGCCGCAUCGACCUCGUCCCACGCCAGAAAAACCCAACCUAUACUCUGGACUCACGACGAGACUUUCCUCUUAAUCGAAUCAUACAAAGAGAAAUGGUACGCAAUUGGCCGUGGUCCUCUCAAAACAAACCACUGGGAAGAGAUCGCCGUCGCUGUCUCGGGUCGUUCCGGCGUUGACCGGUCGUCUACUCAGUGUAGGCAUAAGAUCGAGAAGAUGCGUAAAAGAUUCCGAUCUGAGAGACAGAGUAUGGGACCAAUCUCGAUUUGGCCUUUUUAUAAUCAAAUGGAGGAAUUGGAUUCGAACCCUGCUCCCAUCUCAGCUCGUCCUCUCACUCGUCUACCUCCGAAUUCGAGUAAUCACUACCAAGAAGAUGAAGAAGAAGAGGAUCAUUACGAAGAAGAAGAUGAAGAUGAUGAGAGACAGAGCAAAUCGAGGAGUAUCAAUUACAUACUGAGAAGACCUGGUUCUGUUAACAGAUUUGCUGGAGUUGGUGGAGGGUUGUUGUCAUGGGGACAAAGAGAUAGAUCUUCGAAGAGGAAGAGGAACAAGAACGACGGAGAUGGUGGUGAGAGGAGGAGGAAAGGAGUGAGAGCUGUGGCGGCGGAGAUUAGAGCGUUUGCUGAGAGAGUUAUGGUAAUGGAGAAGAAGAAGAUGGAGUUUGCUAAAGAGACAGUGAAGCUUCGUAAGGAAAUGGAGAUUAGAAGGAUUGAUUUGAUUCAGAGUUCUCAAGCUCAGCUUCUUCAGUUUCUCAACAAUGCCUUUGAUUCUUCUUUCUAACUAGAGAGAGAUUGAUUUUAAGAUAAUAAAACAGAAGAUGAGGUUUUGUAACAUAGUAGUGUUUUAACUAUUCUAGAAAUGAAUUAUGAAGAUGAGCUUUUGUAACAUAGUGUUUAACUAUUCUAGAAAUGAACUAUGUAAUCUAAUGUUUAUGUGUAUACAAGAAGACAAUGUUAUUGGAAGCAAUUUGAACUUUUUUUUUUUUUUAACCAUAAGAGAUUGAAGAGACAGAACAAUGAUACAUCAUCAAAUUAACCUAAACCUACAAGAGAAGUUAGAGGAAAAGGCCCUAAAUAUAUGCCACAAGGAGGAGGGAACAAAGAAAAAAAUGAGGGUGGAGGAGUAGAGACUUUUCUGUACAUAACAUUAUAAACUGUUUCUACUCUCUCCCAAACCAAAAGAUGGGUAGAAGAAGAAGAAGGAAGAGACUAAUUCUCUAUGAUGCAAGUGUUAAUUUACAUUAUGAGAUACCUUCUCUCUCUGUUCAAAAGAGGCAAAAAGACCUGCAUGAGUUCAAUCUUAUCCACCAUCUUCUUCCCAAUUUAUCUCCGCUCUGCCUUUAUCAAAUCUGCAAACUCCUCAAUAUGUAGAGUUUAUAUAGGCUGGACUCAACCAAUGUUAUGUUAAACAGUAACUUGAUUGAUGUUAGUGCCAAAAAGUGAGGACCCGACUCUGAAGGCAGAGGAGACGAACCAGUUUGGGUUCCUGUACAGGGUUGAUGGUAAGGGCCAGCCAGCAUUAAACUUUGAAGGAUCUACAGCUACUCAAGGAUCAUCUGUCAUGCUUCUCAUUCCACUUUCGUAUCAGGAGGCUUGGAAGCUGAUACUUGUGCUUCUUCUAAUUGAGGCUGCUGCUGCUGCUCAGAAGCAAGGUGUUUCUGAUUUUGUACAGGCAGCAUCUCUGACAACUUUGGUCUCUUUUCUUCUGAAGGCAGAGACUGUUGUCUCUGUGUGACGGCCUUGAUCCCGUGACUCGGCAAGCCACCAGAUACAUGCUUCUGAGCUAGUCCUUGAUUCGGUGCUGUUACUGGAUCAUUCCCAGCUGAAUCUGUAUUGGAGCUGUUUACUACUUUAGAAGCAGUGCUUUGCAUAGAGGCAGCACAAGAUGGAGAUUCUAAAGCCGGCACCACCGUAGAACCAACUGCUUUUACGCUUUUCGAAUCAUGACUCGAUUGAGGCAUACCCUUUGUCGUACCCAUACUAGCAAUUUGGGUGGUAUUGGUGACAGAGUGCGGAACACGUGAAAUACGUUCAGCUUGGGACUUCUUUGAUAACUCAGAGUUCCCUAGAUGAUUAUGAUGAAUAACUCGAGAAGCUGUUGAUUGCAGUUGAUUGCGCUGCUUUUGGUGUAGCAACAAAUGCUGAUGGUUGGAAGGUGUAACUGACGGGCUAGAGGUGGGUAAGAUGUUACAUGGGGCCGCAGGUGAGCUCUGGCCUUGGAUGCUAUUAUCUAAAUGUAAGUGCAUCUGUUGUUGUUGGGACGGAAUCAAAGCACCAGGUAAUGCUAUAGGCAAUUGAUGUGAAUGAUUUGAAGACAAGGGAGAAACGAAUGGUUUAGAUUGCAGAUGCGUGCUCAUGGCAGUCCCUGCAUUAGACUGCUGAUCUGGCCUAACUGGAACCGCUUGCUCUCCUUUUUCGGUAGCCUG
rnacentral:lncRNA from 1 species